rnacentral:lncRNA from 1 species
UUUCAACUCACAUUACAUAAUUGUACAUGAAGUGACAUGAUUAUCUUUCUGAGCACCACUAAUUAAUGUCUUAUCCUUAAUAUUGCUAUGGUUCAAGAAUUUUUUCCCCUCUGAAAGUCCUGCAGGAGUUUAUUGUGAGG